GGUUCGCGGCCGCGGUAUUCUGACCGUGCAAAGGUAUCGUAAUCACUUGUCUUUUAAAUAAAGACAGGUAUGAAUGGCACCACGAAGGUUCAACAGUCUCCUGCAUCUAAUCCAUUAAACUGACCUCCCCGUGCAGAGGCGGGGAUACAACCAUAAGACUAGAAGACCCUAUGGAGCUUAAAACUAGAGGCAACUGCCAUCUUCAACCUAAUCCCUAAGGAAAAACAAUAAAACAAGCAGAAAUUGACCUAAAGUUUUCGGUUGGGGCGACCACUGAAAAUAAAAAAUCCUCCUUGAAUAAUACGGUCUACCACCCUU
rnacentral:rRNA from 1 species